GAGAUCUGAGGGGGAAGGAGGCCACGUUGCUGCCGCAGCUACCAAUCCGCGCCGUCAGGGUCGUCCCAUCCACGGAGCCUGAGUCGCGCCGUGUCACUGAGAGAAGAAGGAGAUCCGGAAGGGAGGAAGAGCACCGGGGAAGCAGCAGCUCACAGGCCAGCCGCAUUCUACCACCACGUUCGGCUCCUCGCCGUCGCGCUACCGAUUUGCCGCCGAUCCAGUCAUCCACGCCGUCGUCCUUGCCGCGAGUCCAGCGCCGUCGUUGCUAUCUUUGCACGAGGAGAGGUAGAGGCUAGCAGUGGAGGGCGGCACAUGAGAGGGAGUUCGUGCCUCACCACCGUCACCCAAUGGGGCCACGGACUGCGCCGGUCGCCGCCGCGUCGCGUCGAGGAGGAAGACUGAGACUGAGCGCCGCUGGGAGGGAGGACGACGCGAGCUGGAGGUCCGGUCGCCGUGGUGCUAUGGAGCAGACAGAACCGCGCCACGCUGUUGGGGUUCUCACUGUCGCCGGAAAGGAAUUCAGAUCCGCCGCUGCCGGAGCUUCUAGCCGAGCCUCAACCGUCGGGAACACCGCUGCCGCCACCGAGCUCCACUGCCGAUAAGGCUUUUAAGUUGAGUUUCCCUUCUGUUGAGUUUCCCGGAACUUCAUUGUCGCUGCGUGUGGUUCAGAUCGCCGCUGCUGCUUGGGGCUGACUGCCGGGUUGCCGCCGAACCGGUUCAGAGACCGCCGCUGUUUCGGUUCAACCGUUCCUUCUUCGGUUCGAGUUGUUGAGACUAUUGCGAAAUGGU